ensembl:snoRNA LOC120102666 small nucleolar RNA SNORA17
CUUACCCUGAGAGGCAUUGCAGGUGUGACUGCUAUGUCAUGUAUGCGUCAGUAGGCGGCAGAAAGGAGAGGGACUAGGUUUAUGCUCAGGGUUCUGACCUAUGAACAUCUGAAUUAAUAGUAGCUGAACAUU